rnacentral:piRNA from 1 species
UCAGAAGUUAAGAGCAGGCACUGCCUUUGC